rnacentral:sRNA from 1 species
UUUUCCUGCACGGCUUGAGGGUCUGCUCCAUGAAAAAGGCCCGGCGCAUCAAGCUGCCGGGCCUUAUUAUCGUCGGU